CUAAACCUUUACUCAAAAUAAAUGGAUAAGGAAAUUACUUAUCUAAUGAAUUAUUAAGACACUCAGCCACAAUUUCGUAUAAGUUGUGGUCAUUAAAGGUAAAAAAAGAUGCAUGUGUCUUUACGAAGUAUCCAUUACAUACGGGAAUACGGAUUCCCUCCUGAGACUAAACCUUCAAUGUCACUCAACAAAUAACUAUCUGUACCACAUUUAUUAUAGAAAGAGCCUUCAAAAUGGAUUUGUCUUUCAUGCCAACAAGGGAUUAACACUAGACAAUUCUCUACCCUGGAUGACACAUAUCCC